UACGGGGGGGGCAAGCGUUGUUCGGAAUUACUGGGCGUAAAGGGCGCGUAGGCGGUUUGCUAAGUCGAAUGUGAAAACUCCGGGCUUAACCCGGAGCCUGCAUUCGAUACUGGCAGGCUAGAGUUCUGGAGGGGAUAGCGGAAUUCCUGGUGUAGCGGUGAAAUGCGUAGAUAUCAAGAGGAACACCAGUGGCGAAGGCGAGUCCCUGGACAAACCCUGACACUGAGGCACGAAAGCCAGGGGAGCAAACAGG
rnacentral:rRNA from 1 species